rnacentral:lncRNA from 1 species
AAAGGUUUCCACUAUUUGACCAUUAUAAGGUGAAUAAUUUUAUUUUCCCAUGAUGAAAUUCAAUCCACUCGUGUGAAUAUGAUUUUUAUAUUUUCCGUCUCAUUACUUAUUUAAUAGUAGCUAUUAUGUUGCAAUAUUUGAAGUCAAAGAGGCACUAAAUAGAUUAGAAGAAAAUAUUUUAAAAACUAACUCUCUAUAUUUCAGAGCUUUAAGAUUUAUAAAGAUAACUUUUGGAUAUUUUGAAAAUUAAUGAUAAGAGUAGUAGUUGAGGCAAGGAAAGGGAUGGGGAGGUAAGGCAGAAAAAAAGGAUAAGGAAAAGGGACCUUAACUUUGAAAACUCAAAUGGAAAGCAAGGAAAGCACAAACUAACUAAUGUCAAGGGUUGGAGAUAGAGAGUGAUGAAGGGCGAAGAGGAACUCGGUAGCUUGCUCCAAACAAGUUUCAGAGAUGUAGAAGCCAAAGGCAAUCUCAAGCCAUUUGGGUGAACACAAAUAGUUUGUUAUUAUCUCCUGAUCACUUAACUACUCCUUG